CCUGACGGUAGUCGUAUGCUCGUCUCCGAGACUAAGCCAUGCAAGUCCAAGUACACGUCCUUGAACGACGGAAACUGCGAACGGCUCAUUAAAUCAGUUGCGAUCUACUCGGCGUUCCGCGCCGCCGGAUAACCGUAGUAAUUCUAGGGCUAAUACGUGCGAAGCGCCCGAAGCCGCGAGGCGACGGGCGUUCUCGCCGGAUGUAGGAACCGACCCGGGGACCGCCGGGGCAACCCGGCGCCCCCGAGACGGGGCGAACCACGGUGAAAUGACGGAUCGUCGGCCCCGCGCCGGCGACUCGCCGAAUGAGUUUCUGACCUAUCAACUCGAGACGGCGGGGUAGAGGCCCGCGCGGUAACGACGGGUAACGGGGAAUCGAGGGUUCGAUUCCGGAGAGGGGAGCCCGAGAACGGCUACCACUUCCAAGGAAGGCAGCAGGCGCGCAACUUACCCUAAUC
rnacentral:rRNA from 1 species